UCAGAUCUGCAAUCUUCAAAUUUGAACGCGCACAGGAAUGAAUCACCUGGGAAUCCUGUUGAAAUGCAGACCCUGACUCAAUAUCACUGACAUGAAAGAUGCCGACGAAUUCCCUGGAAAACCGUGCAGUCACGUCGGUCCGCGGGCGCGCUGCUUUCGCGCGGAGGAAUGGAUGCGGCCAGGGCUGCUCUCAGCAAUGAAGAAACUGAGGCCCAGAGUGGAAGACAGAUCUGGCCAAAGUCACCUGGCAGGUAAACAGCUAAGCCUUUUGGGUCUGUGUGUUGGUGGAGGUCUGGGAGAAGGCAAGUCUUCAGUGGGGUAAGAGGGUUGUCUAAGGACGGUGAGAUGCUCAGAAAAAACCUCCUGAUUCACACUGUUCCACAUUUGGGCCUGGAAACAUAACACACCUGAGAGCAAGUUCUGACGUGGAGAAACAGAGAGGCAGCCCCACACGGGAGGGUCCCAAGCUGGGCUGCUCAUUGUAAUCAUUGGAGGGCAUGUUUGAAAAUGCUGAUGACUGGGCCCCACCUCUGACGAACUGAACCUGAAUCUCUCAGGUCUCACAGUCCCCAUGAGCUUGUUAGGAAUGCAAACUCUAGGUCCCACC